CCCGCAGGGCUCCGGGCGGCCGUGACCCUGCUGGAGUCCGGGGGGGACCUCCAGCCCCCCGGGGGGUCCCUGCGCCUCCUCUGCCGCGGCUCUGGGUUCAGUUUUGGAAAUUAUGGAAUGUUCUGGAUCCGCCAGAGACCUGGGCAGACCCUGGAAUACGUCGCGAGUAUCAGCAGCAAUGGUGGUGCCACCAACUACGCGCCGUCGGUCAAGGGCCGGUUCACGCUGUCCAGGGACAACGGGCAGAGCUCGGUGACGCUGACCAUGAGCAGCCUCAAGGACGAGGAUUCCGGAUCCUAUUUCUGUGCCAGACGUUUUGAUAGUGGCACUGGUAAUAUUGCUGAUGGUCGGCGGCGCGCGGCUUUGCGUGCAGCCGGCGCUCUGCGGGGGCGCCGAGCAGCCGGGCGCGCCUCCGCCACGCACAGGUGGCAGAGACGAAAAGAACCCGGCGGCUUUCUCUCUCCUGUCCCGGCCCGGCCCGGCCGCGCCCCAGCAGCCGCCAGGAAGGAAGUGGGGGGCGGCUGCGUGUAA